rnacentral:misc_RNA from 1 species
AACACUUGUCAAGAUAACCCCAAGCCCCCUAAUAGCAGAGCAGAGCAAGGCAAGGUUCCGUCCAAUAGAGUUGGAAACAGUAAUGCAGGGACUGAAGGCAGCAGCAGCCUUACUUGUAAGGCGGAGUAGAAGCUGUUAUUUCCAUUACAGAAAUCUCUCUUCUCUUCCAAGCAAUUCCUCAAUCGAUGAUGAUCCCGAUAAUCAAGUUGUUAUUUUUUCUUUUUCUUCAUUGAAUCCCUAUUUAUUUUGUGUAAUUAGCACUUUGAUCUUGCUUUACUGCCUUAUAUUACACAGGUAUUAGUUGAAGGCAAAGCUUGUUCGAGAACAGCCAUUCUCAACAGACCCUCUGCCCUCAAUGCACUCAAUACUAGCAUGGGUGCGCGAUUGCUGAAAUUGUAUAGAUCUUGGGAGGAUAAUCCAGAUAU